UACGUAGGGUGCAGGCGUUAAUCGGAAUUACUGGGCGUAAAGCGUGCGCAGGCGGUUUCUUAAGUCAGAUGUGAAAGCCCCGGGCUUAACCUGGGAACUGCGUUUGAAACUGGGAGACUUGAGUGUGGCAGAGGGGGGUGGAAUUCCCGGUGUAGGUGGUGAAAUGCGUAGAUAUCGGGAGGAACACCAGUGGCGAAGGCGACUACCUGGCCGUGUUCUUCGACGCUGAGGCGCGGAAAGCUGGGGGAGCAAACGGG
rnacentral:rRNA from 1 species